rnacentral:rRNA from 1 species
UGGCGAACGGGUGAGUAACACGUAGAUAACCUGCCUGUAUGACCGGGAUAACAGUUGGAAACGACUGCUAAUACCGGAUAGGCAGAGAGGAGGCAUCUCUUCUCUGUUAAAGUUGGGAUACAACGCAAACAGAUGGAUCUGCGGUGCAUUAGCUAGUUGGUGAGGUAACGGCCCACCAAGGCGAUGAUGCAUAGCCGGCCUGAGAGGGCGAACGGCCACAUUGGGACUGAGACACGGCCCAAACUCCUACGGGAGGCAGCAGUAGGGAAUUUUCGGCAAUGGGGGAAACCCUGACCGAGCAAUGCCGCGUGAGUGAAGACGGCCUUCGGGUUGUAAAGCUCUGUUGUAAGGGAAGAACGGCAUAGAGAGGGAAUGCUCUAUGAGUGACGGUACCUUACCAGAAAGCCACGGCUAACUACGUGCCAGCAGCCGCGGUAAUACGUAGGUGGCAAGCGUUAUCCGGAAUUAUUGGGCGUAAAGGGUGCGUAGGCGGCGAGAUA